rnacentral:rRNA from 1 species
CCUACGGGUGGCAGCAGUGGGGAAUAUUGCACAAUGGAGGAGACUCUGAUGCAGCAACGUAGCGUGAGUGAAGAAGUCCCUCGGGAUGUAAAGCUUCAUCAGUAGGGAAGUGAAAGACUGUACCUGUCGAAGAAGCUCCGGAUAACUACGUGCCAGCAGCCGUGGUAAUACGGAGGGAGCGAGCGUUAUCCGGAUUUUCUGGGUGUUAAGGGAGCGUAGAGGGUUUGGCAAGUCUGUAGUGAAAGUUCGUGGCUUAACCGCGGAAUGGCUGUUGAAACUGUGGAACUGGAGUACUGUAGAGGCAAGCGGAAUUCGUAGUGUAGCGGUGAAAUGCUUAGAUAUUAGGAAGAACUCCGAUUGCGAAGGCAGCUUACUGGACUGUAACUGACAUUGAGGCUCGAAAGUGUGGGUAUCAAACAGGAUUAGAUACCCCAGUAGUC